rnacentral:misc_RNA from 1 species
AAGGGAACUCUCAUUGCAUGAGAGAUCAGAUAAUCUUUUGAAAGAUGAAGCUGAACCGAUAUUCAUAAUUGAUGUUUUAGAAGAGCAUGGGGAUGAUAUUGUUCAGAGUUGUUACUGGGAUUCAGGCCGUCCAUUUGAUCUGAGGCGAGAGGCUGAUCCUGUACCCCCUGAUGUUACUCUCCAAUCUAUACUAUUUGAUAGCCCCGAUAAGCACAGAUGGGCUCGUUGUCUUAGUGAGCUUGUCAAGUAUGCUGCUGAGCUGUGUCCGAGUUCUGUUCAGGAUGCAAA